UACGUAGGGGGCAAGCGUUGUCCGGAAUUAUUGGGCGUAAAGAGCGCGUAGGCGGUCCGAUAAGUCGGCUGUGAAAGUCAGGGGCUCAACCCUGGAAUGCCGGUGGAAACUGUCAGGCUCGAGUCCGGAAGAGGCGAGUGGAAUUCCUGGUGUAGCGGUGAAAUGCGCAGAUAUCAGGAGGAACACCGGUGGCGAAGGCGGGUCUCUGGGCCGAUACUGACGCUGAGGAGCGAAAGCGUGGGGAGCAAACAGG
rnacentral:rRNA from 1 species